AAAGAGCGUGUAGGCGGGUAGUUAAGUCAGAAGUGAAAUCCAAUAGCUCAACUAUUGAACUGCUUUUGAAACUGAUUACCUAGAAUAUGGGAGAGGUAGAUGGAAUUUCUGGUGUAGGGGUAAAAUCCGUAGAGAUCAGAAGGAAUACCGAUUGCGAAGGCGAUCUACUGGAACAUUAUUGACGCUGAGACGCGAAAGCGUGGGGAGCAAACAGGAUUAGAUACCCUGGUAGUCCACGCCCUAAACGAUGUACACUAGUUGUUGUGAGGCUCGACCUUGCAGUAAUGCAGUUAACACAUUAAGUGUACCGCCUGGGGGGUACGGUCGCAAGAUUAAAACUCAAAGGAAUAGACGGGGACCCGCACAAGCGGUGGAGCAUGUGGUUUAAUUCGACGAUACACGAAGAACCUUACCUGGACUUGACAUAGUAAGAACUUUCUAGAGAUAGAUUGGUGUCUGCUUGCAGAAACUUAUAUACAGGUGCUGCACGGCUGUCGUCAGCUCGUGUCGUGAGAUGUUGGGUUAAGUCCCGCAACGAGCGCAACCCUCGUCAUUAGUUGCUAACAGUUCGGCUGAGAACUCUAAUGAGACUGCCUACGCAAGUAGGAGGAAGGUGAGGACGACGUCAAGUCAUCAUGGCCCUUACGUCCAGGGCUACACACGUGCUACAAUGGGGUAUACAAAGAGCCGCAAUACGGUGACGUGGAGCAAAUCUCAAAAAUAUCUCCCAGUUCGGAUUGUAGUCUGCAACUCGACUACAUGAAGUUGGAAUC
rnacentral:rRNA from 1 species